rnacentral:misc_RNA from 1 species
AUUUAAUAAUCAAUAACCACAAAUUCAACAAUCAUGAAAAACGAUGUGCAAAAAAAAAUUCAUAAACAAAUGUUGGGAAGGAUUUUAGCUAACAAUUUUACAGGAAAUAAAAAUUUAUAAAUCUUUAUUUAGUAGGUGAAUUUGGUUAGGUCAUCUAUAAUCAAAUGCCAUAAACACUUCUUGAAAACCAAAUCUUGCUAUUAUAUUUCAUAUAUUCUCAAUGGCCAGAGAAUGUUAAAAAAUUUCUGUUAGCAAGAGCUUGAUGCAACAAAUGAUGGAUUGGCAGACAAAUCUUCCCCUUUCAAUGUAUGCAAUUUAGCAAAAACCCCAACAAGAGUUGCAGUAUUAUAAGUGCAGGCCUCAGUUUGCAUGUAAUUUUCUCUCUCAUCCCAAAAUUCAUCCUUGUUAUCGGGCCCACCAACUAUGGCCCCCAGAAUAACAUUAGGGUUUGGAUCUUGCCGGCUGUACCAAAGAUCAUACCCUUGUGUGCACCCAAUAAAACCCUUGUUCCCUCUAUAUGAUUCGAUGGAUGCUCCUCUGUGGUGGACCCUUAAAGGGUAUUUCAAACCAUACCCAACUAAGUAGCUCAUGCCCAUUGGAUUAUUACCCAAUAUGUAAUCAACUUGUGAUUUUGCGAAGCUGAAAAUUUCUUGUGGGGACAACGUCCCCUGAUCACAAUUAAGCCGCUGAUUUGAUGCGUGAAGGUAAUCAGAGUAAACUGUGAGAAGAAAAGCAGCCGUUGAUACAUAUUGGAGGUUGUUCCACUGGCGGAUGUAUAGUAAGCCCCCUGGGGUGCGUUCCACAUUAGUGACAUUGCUUUUGUUAAGGCAAGCACAUAAAUAAUACUCUGCUUUUGAACGGUAUUUCUCUAAUAUGAGCUUGUGUUUUCUCAGCCUCUCAUCCGUUAAUAACAUGGAAGCAAUGAGCUGAACACCAGCAUACUUGACAUCCCAGCUA